rnacentral:rRNA from 1 species
UACGUAGGGGGCAAGCGUUGUUCGGAUUUACUGGGCGUAAAGGGCGGGUAGGCGGCCACCGCAAGUCAGUUGUGAAAUCUCCGGGCUUAACCCGGAAAGGUCAACUGAUACUGCGGGGCUAGAGUGCAGAAGGGGCAACUGGAAUUCUCGGUGUAGCGGUGAAAUGCGUAGAUAUCGAGAGGAACACCUGCGGCGAAGGCGGGUUGCUGGGCUGACACUGACGCUGAACUGCGAAAGCUAGGGGAGCGAACGGG